UUUUCGAUCUCUCCGCUGGCUGUUUGCUGCUUGCUCUGGCCGGCAUGAAAAUUUCUCCAUUUUUCUGAAAGCUGUGAUCAUUCCCUGGUUGUGCCUUAUCUGGCUACUAGGUACAACAUGGCGAAAACAUGGACAGUUGUAAGAUUUGAGGACGAAAAUGUUGUGCAAGCAGUGCCAUCAAAUUGGAUUGUUAAUGGCGGAUGUUACUGGCCACCGUAUACAACAGAAAAAAUUUUAAAAGCUAUAAAAGAUAAUGUUCAUUUUGAUUCUUCAUGGAUACGAAGUGUACGUCUUCAAAAAUAGUACAUCGGAAAGUUAUCAAGCUUGUAGACUAAAAGCCAAAAAGAUACUUCAGAUUUAAAUUCAGAUUGUCAUAAAAAACGAAUAAUUAAAAAGAAACGUAUUUAUAGUGAUAGUUCAGAUUCGGAUUAUGAUACUAAUUAUACAAAGUUACCAUCUC